rnacentral:rRNA from 1 species
GACGAACGCUGGCGGCGUGCUUAACACAUGCAAGUCGAACGGAAAGGCCCUGCUUUUGUGGGGUGCUCGAGUGGCGAACGGGUGAGUAACACGUGAGUAACCUGCCCUUGACUUUGGGAUAACUUCAGGAAACUGGGGCUAAUACCGGAUAGGAGCUCCUGCUGCAUGGUGGGGGUUGGAAAUUUUCGGCGGUUGGGGAUGGACUCGCGGCUUAUCAGCUUGUUGGUGGGGUAGUGGCUUACCAAGGCUUUGACGGGUAGCCGGCCUGAGAGGGUGACCGGCCACAUUGGGACUGAGAUACGGCCCAGACUCCUACGGGAGGCAGCAGUGGGGAAUAUUGCACAAUGGGCGGAAGCCUGAUGCAGCAACGCCGCGUGCGGGAUGACGGCCUUCGGGUUGUAAACCGCUUUCGCCUGUGACGAAGCGGGAGUGACGGUAAUGGGUAAAGAAGCACCGGCUAACUACGUG